rnacentral:rRNA from 1 species
GACGAACGCUGGCGGCGUGCUUAACACAUGCAAGUCGAACGAAAAGAGGGAAAGAGCUUGCUCUUUCCGGAAUUGAGUGGCAAACGGGUGAGUAACACGUAAACAACCUGCCUUCAGGAUGGGGACAACAGACGGAAACGACUGCUAAUACCGAAUAAGUUCCAAGAGCCGCAUGGCCCAUGGAAGAAAAGGUGGCCUCUACCUGUAAGCUAUCGCCUGAAGAGGGGUUUGCGUCUGAUUAGCUGGUUGGAGGGGUAACGGCCCACCAAGGCGACGAUCAGUAGCCGGUCUGAGAGGAUGAACGGCCACACUGGAACUGAGACACGGUCCAGACUCCUACGGGAGGCAGCAGUGGGGUAUCUUCCGCAAUGGGCGAAAGCCUGACGGAGCAACGCCGCGUGAGUGAUGACGGCCUUCGGGUUGUAAAACUCUGUGAUCCGGGACGAAAAGGCAGAGUGCGAAGAACAAACUGCAUUGACGGUACCGGAAAAGCAAGCCACGGCUAACUACGUG